rnacentral:rRNA from 1 species
GUUAGGAAUAUUGGACAAUGGGCGAAAGCCUGAUCCAGCCAUGCCGCGUGAACGAUGAAGGCCUUCGGGUUGUAAAGUUCUUUAGCCGAUGAUUAUAAUGACUGUAGUCGGAAAAUAAGCCCCGGCUAACUUCGUGCCAGCAGCCGCGGUAAUACGAAGGGGGCGAGCGUUAUUCGGAAUCACUGGGCGUAAAGCGUGCGUAGGCGGUUUUGUAAGUUAGGAGUGAAAGCCCAGGGCUCAACCUUGGAAUUGCUCUUAAAACUGCAAGGCUCGAAACUCGGAGAGGAUAGCGGAAUUUCCAGUGUAGCAGUGAAAUGCGUAGAUAUUGGAAGGAACACCAGUGGCGUAAGCGGCUAUCUGGACGAGUAUUGACGCUGAGGCACGAAAGCGUGGGGAUCAAACAGGAUUAGAAACCCCUGUAGUCC